rnacentral:rRNA from 1 species
AGUGAACGCUGGCGGUAGGCCUAACACAUGCAAGUCGAACGGCAGCACAGGAGAGCUUGCUCUCUGGGUGGCGAGUGGCGGACGGGUGAGGAAUACAUCGGAAUCCACUCUGUCGUGGGGGAUAACGUAGGGAAACUUACGCUAAUACCGCAUACGACCUACGGGUGAAAGCAGGGGACCUUCGGGCCUUGCGCGAUUGAAUGAGCCGAUGUCGGAUUAGCUAGUUGGCGGGGUAAAGGCCCACCAAGGCGACGAUCCGUAGCUGGUCUGAGAGGAUGAUCAGCCACACUGGAACUGAGACACGGUCCAGACUCCUACGGGAGGCAGCAGUGGGGAAUAUUGGACAAUGGGCGCAAGCCUGAUCCAGCCAUGCCGCGUGGGUGAAGAAGGCCUUCGGGUUGUAAAGCCCUUUUGUUGGGAAAGAAAUCCAGCUGGCUAAUACCCGGUUGGGAUGACGGUACCCAAAGAAUAAGCACCGGCUAACUUCGUGCCAGCAGCCGCCGUAA